AGGAAAUGUGCUGGCAAAAGCAAGGAUGAACUCCAUGCUUGAGCCAAAAAGGCUGUUAAGAAACCUUCCUUCUCUUUCUCCAGUAAUUCAGGGCAGAUGAUGCCUCAUGCAGAACCUGUCUUGGUGAUAGCUGAGAAUGAGCACUCAUUUGUGCUGCCUCAAGCAGUUUGAGUGCUGCUGGUCUAGAAGACUUUGAUCUACUCUGCAGAGGAAAGACUCUACAGCAGCCUGGAUGGGUGCUGACAGUGAGACGAGCUGGAGAGGAUUUGCCCGCACCCAGACCAGGAGCCCACCCAGCAGUAGGACUGGACAGAGAGUCUGCACAGAGGGAGAAGUGAGGCACGGGCCCUCCCCUAUGAGCCCUAGCAGCUGUGCUUCUGGCACACCCUGGCCAAUGCACCACCUUGCCAGCCAUGUCUGCCUCUGCAGCUCUCUGG
rnacentral:lncRNA from 1 species